CAGUCGCCGCGGGAAUACGAAGGGGGCUAGCGUUGUUCGGAUUUACUGGGCGUAAAGCGCACGUAGGCGGACUUUUAAGUCAGGGGUGAAAUCCCGGGGCUCAACCCCGGAACUGCCUUUGAUACUGGAAGUCUUGAGUAUGGUAGAGGUGAGUGGAAUUCCGAGUGUAGAGGUGAAAUUCUUAGAUAUUCGGAGGAACACCAGUGGCGAAGGCGGCUCACUGGACCAUUACUGACGCUGAGGUGCGAAAGCGUGGGGAGCAAACAGGAUUAGAUACCCCGGUAGUCCCUGUCUCUUAUAC
rnacentral:rRNA from 1 species